UUAAUACUCCCUCCGUUCUGAAUUACUUGUCGCAGAUAUGGAUGUAUCUAGAUGUAUUUUAGUUUUAGAUACAUCCAUUUCUACGACGAGUAAUUUGGAACGGAGGGAGUAGUAU
rfam:Triticum urartu cultivar G1812 contig554780, whole genome shotgun sequence.